UUGGAGGGCAAGUCUGGUGCCAGCAGCCGCGGUAAUUCCAGCUCCAAUAGCGUAUAUUAAAGUUGUUGCAGUUAAAAAGCUCGUAGUUGAACUUCGGGGUUUACCCAUUGGUCAGGCUUAAUUGUCUGUACUGGUGAGAUGAAUCUCUACCUUCUGAGGAACUUUCAUGCCAUUUAUUUGGUGUGAUUGGAAAUCAGGACUGUUACUUUGAAAAAAUUAGAGUGUUUAAAGCAGGCUAACGUCUGAAUACAUUAGCAUGGAAUAAUGAAAUAGGACGGACUGAUUCUAUUUCGUUGGUUUCUAGGAUCACCGUAAUGAUUAAUAGGGAUAGUUGGGGGCAUAGUAUUCAAUUGUCAGAGGUGAAAUUCUUGGACUUAUUGGAGACUAACUACUGCGAAAGCAUUUGCCAAGGAUGUUUUCAUUAAUCAAGAACGAAAGUUAGGGGAUCGAAGACGAUCAGAUACCGUCGUAGUCUUAACCAUAAACUAUGCCGACUAGGGAUCGGAUGAUGUUAAUUUUUUAAUGACUCAUUCGGCGCCUUACGGGAAACCAAAGUGUUUGGGUUC
rnacentral:rRNA from 1 species